rnacentral:rRNA from 1 species
GACGAACGCUGGCGGCGUGCCUAAUACAUGCAAGUCGAACGCUUCUUUCCUCCCGAGUGCUUGCACUCAAUUGGAAAGCGGAGUGGCGGACGGGGGAGUAACACGUCGGUAACCUACCCAUCAGCGGGGGAGAACACCUGGAAACAGGAGCUAAUACCGCAUAACAGUGUAUGCCGCAUGGCAUAAGAGUGAAAGGCGCUUUCGGGUGUCGCUGAUGGAUGGACCCGCGGUGCAUUAGCUAGUUGUUGCGGUAACGGGUCACCAUGGCCACGAUGCAUAGCCGACCUGGGAGAGUGAUCGGCUACACUUGUUCGGCGACCCGGCCCCGACUCCCACGGGUGGCAGCAGCCGGGCAUCCUCGCCACUGCACGCAAGUCUGACCGAGCAACGCCGCGUGAGUGCAGAGGGUUUCCGUAUCGUAAACCUCUGUUGUUAGUGAAUAUCAGGGACGUUAGUAACUGAACGUCCCCUGACGGUAUCUAGCCAGACACCCCCGCCUAACUACGUC